rnacentral:tRNA from 1 species
UGGGUUGUCGCCAAGCGGUAAGGCACAGGACUUUGACUCCUGUAUACGAGGGUUCGAAUCCCGCCAGCCCAG